GGGCGUAAGCGCACGCAGGCGGUUUGUUAAGCUAGAUGUGAAAGCCCCGGGCUCAACCUGGGACGGUCAUUUAGAACUGGCAGACUAGAGUCUUGGAGAGGGGAGUGGAAUUCCAGGUGUAGCGGUGAAAUGCGUAGAUAUCUGGAGGAACAUCAGUGGCGAAGGCGACUCCCUGGCCAAAGACUGACGCUCAUGUGCGAAAGUGUGGGUAGCGAACAGGAUUAGAUACCCUGGUAGUCCACACCGUAAACGCUGUCUACUAGCUGUUUGUGGCUUUAAGCCGUGAGUAGCGAAGCUAACGCGAUAAGUAGACCGCCUGGGGAGUACGGCCGCAAGGUUAAAACUCAAAUGAAUUGACGGGGGCCCGCACAAGCGGUGGAGCAUGUGGUUUAAUUCGAUGCAACGCGAAGAACCUUACCUACACUUGACAUGUUGAGAAGUUACUAGAGAUAGUUUCGUGCCUUCGGGAACUCAAACACAGGUGCUGCAUGGCUGUCGUCAGCUCGUGUCGUGAGAUGUUGGGUUAAGUCCCGCAACGAGCGCAACCCUUGUCCUUAGUUGCCAGCAUU
rnacentral:rRNA from 1 species